rnacentral:lncRNA from 1 species
GAACCCAAUAGGGUUUCUCUAAACCCAAUUAAGACUUCAUAAGUUCAAUUGCUUAUUCUAGGUCUAAUCUUUUUAUUGUAUAACCCUAUAGGUUCAAUUCUAUCGGUAGUGAGAUAUACAAUGAUCUCUAUCAUAGUAUCAUUGAAACUCUUUUUAAUGGAUCAGAAUGAUUCCACUCUAACUCAUCAAGGAUUAUCGAUCCUGAGUAAUCCUAUG